AAGCACUUCCCUGCCCUCGAAAACUCAAAGUUAUACCAAAUCAACAAGUUCUAAGCAUAAAAAUAGCGGUACAACAUCAUAAAUAACCGAUUUGUGAACACAGACACAAAAUGUUGACUUUUACAGAGUCGAAACGAGAUUUCAUAAAUAAAUUAGAAAAGAUACGAAACCUACACCUGAUUCGUGAUCAAAUACAACACCACGCUUUUCAUAAAAGAAAAGAAGAACAAAAAAAAGAGGAGAACGUCC
rnacentral:lncRNA from 1 species